GCAAGAGACAGAUCCAUCAGUUACUGGACAUAGUUCCCUCUUAAGGAUAGGGAGGUGGGGGGAGAGGGUGCAGAAAGAUGAUAAUCACAACCUGACAUUAUUACCAUAGCUGCUGCUGCUUACUGAGCUCUUUCUGUGCACACAGCCACAUUUUACUCAGAUGCCAUCAACUCCACAAAGAUCACCUCAACCUAGGUCUUUGUAUGGAAGAAAGAGCCAUGAAGGGGCUCCAAGAGUAUGCGGGUACUGCUCCAAAGGAGAAAUACUAAGGACAAAGCCAUGGAUCCAUUUGGAUGGGGCCUUGAUGAAACACUGUAGGAAUCCAUUGGGAGUUAUUGAGAAGGGAUCAAAGCAGUGCUGGAGAGAAAUUAAUCUGUUAAAUUCAGUUUAAAUUCAUGCCCAUGCCUGGAAAAAGAACUUUCAGAAAUGCUACCCUGUUGAUGGCUUGGUGUGAGUAGCUGUGGUGCUUUCAAUGCUGUCCACCAAAUCUGCCCAGCCCUCUGCCUUCUGGGAACAUAGGAAAAAUAAAAUUUCUUGUCUGCUUCAAAAUUAGGUAUGACUGUGUGACCUU
ensembl:lncRNA